rnacentral:rRNA from 1 species
UACGGAGGAUGCGAGCGUUACUCGGAAUCACUGGGCGUAAAGCGCGCGUAGGCGGCUUUUCAAGUCAGGGGUGAAAUCCCACGGCCCAACCGUGGAACUGCCUUUGAAACUGUAGAGCUUGAGUGUCGGAGAGGGUGGCGGAAUUCCAGGUGUAGGAGUGAAAUCCGUAGAUAUCUGGAGGAACACCGGUGGCGAAGGCGGCCACCUGGACGACAACUGACGCUGAGGUGCGAAAGCGUGGGUAGCAAACAGG